rnacentral:rRNA from 1 species
UACGUAGGGUGCAAGCGUUGCUCGGAAUUACUGGGCGUAAAGGGUGCGUAGGUGGUUUGUUAAGUCUGCUGUGAAAUCCCCGGGCUCAACCUGGGAAUGGCAGUGGAUACUGGCAAGCUAGAGUGCGGUAGAGGGUAGUGGAAUUCCCGGUGUAGCAGUGAAAUGCGUAGAGAUCGGGAGGAACACCAGUGGCGAAGGCGGCUACCUGGACCAGCACUGACACUGAAGCACGAAAGCGUGGGGAGCAAACAGG